rnacentral:tRNA from 1 species
AACCCCUUAGCUCAGUUGGUAGUAGCGCGGGACUUUUAAUCCUGAUGUCGUCGGUUCGAGCCCGACAGGGGUUAC